rnacentral:rRNA from 1 species
GACGAACGCUGGCGGCGUGCUUAACACAUGCAAGUCGAACGUAAAGGCCUCUUUCGGGGGGUACUCGAGUGGCGAACGGGUGAGUAACACGUGAGUAACCUGCCCUUGACUUUGGGAUAACUUCAGGAAACUGGGGCUAAUACCGGAUAGGAGCUCCUGCUGCAUGGUGGGGGUUGGAAAGUUUCGGCGGUUGGGGAUGGACUCGCGGCUUAUCAGCUUGUUGGUGGGGUAGUGGCUUACCAAGGCUUUGACGGGUAGCCGGCCUGAGAGGGUGACCGGCCACAUUGGGACUGAGAUACGGCCCAGACUCCUACGGGAGGCAGCAGUGGGGAAUAUUGCACAAUGGGUGGAAGCCUGAUGCAGCAACGCCGUGUGCGGGAUGACGGCCUUCGGGUUGUAAACCGCUUUCGCUCAUGACGAAGCUUUGUGUGACGGUAGUGGGUAAAGAAGCACCGGCUAACUACGUG